AGAGUUUGAUCAUGGCUCAGGAUGAAAGCUGGCGGCGUGCUUUACACAUGCAAGUCGAAAGAAACUUUCGGGGUUUGUGGCGGACGGGUGAGUAAAGCGUGAGGAUCUGCCCUUUGGCGGGGGACAAAAUUUGGAAAAGGAAGCUAAAACCCCAUAUGUCGAGAGAUGAAAGCUUUAUGUGCCUGAGGAAGAGCUCGCGUCUGAUUUGCUAGUUGGUGAGGUAAAAGCUUUCCAAGGCGACGAUCAGUAGCUGUUCUGAGAGGAAGAUCAGCCACACUGGGACUGAGACACGGCCCAGACUCCUACGGGAGGCAGCAGUGGGGAAAUUUCCGCAAAGGGCGCAAGCCUGACGGAGCAAAGCCGCGUGAGGGAGGAAAGUCUGUGGAUUGUAAAACUCUUUUCUCUGUGAAGAAGAUCUGACGGUAGCAGAGGAAACAGCAUCGGCUAAAACCGUGCCAGCAGCCGCGGUAAGACGGAGGAUGCAAGCGUUAUCCGGAAAUUUUGGGCGUAAAGCGUCCGUAGGCGGUUUAUUUAGUCAGUUGUUUAAGACUGCAGCUCAACUGUGGGAGAGCAAAAGAAAAAGGUUUACUAGAGUAUGGUAGGGGUAGAGGGAAAUCCUAGUGUAGCGGUGAAAAGCGUAGAUAUUUGGAAGAAAACCAGUGGCGAAGGCGCUCUACUGGGCCAAGACUGACGCUGAUGGACGAAAGUUUGGGGAGCGAAAGGGAUUUGAUACCCCUGUAGUCCUAGCUGUAAAAGAUGGAUACUAGGUGUUGUGCGUAUCGACCCGUGCAGUACCGAAGCAAAAGCGUUUAGUAUCCCGCCUGGGGAGUACGCACGCAAGUGUGAAAAACAAAGGAAAUGACGGGGGCCCGCACAAGCGGUGGAGUAUGUGGUUUUAUUCGAUGCAAAGCGAAGAAACUUUCCAGGACUUGACAUCCCUCGAAAAACUGAGAAAACGGUAGGUGCCUUCGGGAGCGAGGAGACAGGUGGUGCAUGGCUGUCGUCAGCUCGUGUCGUGAGAUGUGGGUUUAGUCCCGCAAAGAGCGCAACCCACGUCUUUUGUUGCCAUCAUUCAGUUGGGCACUCUGGAGAGACUGCCGGGGACAAAACGGAGGAAGGUGUGGACGACGUCAAGUCAUCAUGCCCCUUUCGUUCUGGGCUACACACGUACUACAAAGCAAAGGACAAAGGGCAGCCAAAAAGCGAUAGUGAGCUAAACCCAUAAAACGUUGCACAGUUCAGAUUGCAGGCUGCAAAACGCCUGCAUGAAGGAGGAAACGCUAGUAAACGCAGGUCAGCAUACUGCGGUGAAAACGUUCCCGGGCCUUGUACACACCGCCCGUCACACCAUGGAAGUUGGCCAUGCCCGAAGUCGUUUCCCUAAACGUUCGCGGAGGGGGGCGCCGAAGGCAGGGCUGAUGACUGGGGUGAAGUCGUAAAAAGGUAGCCGUA
rnacentral:rRNA from 1 species